AUUGAACGCUGGCGGCAGGCUUAACACAUGCAAGUCGAGCGGAGAUGAGGUGCUUGCACCUUAUCUUAGCGGCGGACGGGUGAGUAAUGCUUAGGAAUCUGCCUAUUAGUGGGGGACAACAUUCCGAAAGGAAUGCUAAUACCGCAUACGUCCUACGGGAGAAAGCAGGGGAUCUUCGGACCUUGCGCUAAUAGAUGAGCCUAAGUCGGAUUAGCUAGUUGGUGGGGUAAAGGCCUACCAAGGCGACGAUCUGUAGCGGGUCUGAGAGGAUGAUCCGCCACACUGGGGCAGGAACACGGCCCAGACUCCUACGGGAGGCAGCAGUGGGGAAUAUUGGACAAUGGGGGGAACCCUGAUCCGGCCAUGCCGCGUGUGUGAAGAAGGCCUUAUGGUUGUAAAGAACUUUAAGCGAGGAGGAGGCUACUGAGACUAAUACUCUUGGAUAGUGGACGUUACUCGCAGAAUAAGCACCGGCUAACUCUGUGCCAGCCGCCGCCGUAAUAC
rnacentral:rRNA from 1 species